AGACCAAUCAAGCCUGGCUUGGUAUUGGGCGUCGGGUCUUCACCCACCCGCGCCUCCAUUCUCCCGGCGGGACGGUUGGAAUCUCAGCGUUGUGCUCAUCAAUCCGCUCGAGACGACAGCCGCCCGCGCCGUUAAACCCCCCAUCAAA
rnacentral:misc_RNA from 1 species